CCAGACUACACGUGCACAAAGAUAAUUCACAGCAAUUCUCUGCAAACCUGCUUGACUCCUGCAAAGUUUUUCCUCGAUUGGUUUGGACAGAGGGACGUCUUACCUCUUCAACGGCUGGUAAAGGUCCUUAAUAAAGGGUGUGUUUUGUGUUCCUGCCAAGGUGCUCCACUCACAGUAGGAGACGGGAGGUAGUCAGAGACCAACCCAUGAUAUCAGAGUUCAAGACUAGAUGGCCAGGACUGUUCACUGUGCCUGAGGUGCAAGCCGAAUUUCUGAGGAUUACCACUGUUCCCCUCAUCACAAAGUUUUUUGCACAACUUGAUUACCACACUGAUCAGCUCAUCAGAUUGCUGAAGAAGG